GGGUGAUGGUGAAGGAAUAAGUUCUUCUGUCUCUUGAGGAAUGGGUCUUCCUCAAAGGUUUUGCUUUCUUAGAUGGAAUGUCGGUGCGCAUUACUGUGUGUGCAAUUUUAGUGUUUCGUAUUGAUUUCUGGGAGAUUCCCUCUGGUUGGUUUUCUAUUAUUUGGAGGCUGUUUCUGGUUUUGGGCCUCUCUAUUCUAACAGUAUGGGGACUUUUUGAAUAUAGAGGAAGACUAAGGCAUUUAUCCUCAGGCAAUUGUCUAAUCUUUUCGAAGAAUAUUGAAUUCUCUCACUACUAGGCUAGUAAAUUUUAAAAACCCGACUUCCAAUGUGUUCUACUGGAGAGACAUAAUAUGUCUAAACUACUUCUAGGUUAUUAUUAAGCCCCUGUAGAUCCAAGUUUUUCAGUACAAAAAACCAUGCAUGAUUAAUAUACUUAGAGUCACAGAUUACACUGAAAUUAUAGCAGAUAUGAUAUCUUUAAUGUUGCUAAUAGUUUUUUGAUUUACUUCUCUUGUUACUCUUUAGCUAUAGAUUUUGAGACUGUUGGGAGUUUGAAGCCAUAACGCUCAGUAAAUAAUAUAACCAGAAGCAAAACAUUAUUCUAUAAACACAAUGAAACCUUCUCUUUUACCUAGUGGAUCAACUGCAAGAAUUGGUCCUAUUUCAACAGGAGGGCCACAGCCAAACUUGUUCUUGGCAAUAACACGGAACUUAUAUUCUUGUCCCUCAAGCAGACCUGUGAUGUCACAUUUAGAUCUCUCAGUCUCUAUUGGUUGUCUCCAAGUAUGCAUCUUGGCAUCUUUUCUUUCAAUGAUGAAGCCUGUUAUUUCACUUCCUCCAUCAUCUUCUGGAUCAGACCAGUUAAGUAGACACAUUUUUCUGUUUGUUACAACAGGUUUUAAAUCAAGAACUGGACCAGGGACAUCUGAAAACAAAACAAAGCCAAAAACCAAUGUAAUAAGAUAGUAACAUUUGGGAAAAUCCUAUGAAAAUCAAUGUAACAUUCCUUACCAAAAACUUCUACCCUGGCUGCUGCAAAUUUGGAACCACAGCUAUUUGUAGCUGUAAUCACAUAUCUGCCAUGGUCUUUUCGCAGUGCAUCCUUGAUAAUUAGUUCAGAUUUGGUUCCAACAUUGUCUAUUACAACGCGGUCUUUAUCCAGCUCCCCUUCUUCUUUGGUCCAUACUUUUGUAGGUACAGGACGACCCGUUACCACAGCUGGAAUUCUAAGAGUCUUCCCAGCCAUUAUUUGUAUUCCACCCUUGACAGAAACAUCCAGUUCCACAGUUGGAGGCUCUGUUGAAAGAGAACAGUCAUACAUUAGCCCAUGAAAGAUUAAAAAAUAGUCCUGUAUAGAGAAAAUAUCCAUAAUUUUAUUCCAAUAAUGUUAAGUACCUUGUGGUUCAGCCACAGUAACAGGUUCUGUUUCUCCAGGCGGUCCUUCCCCUGCGACAUUGACGGCACUCACCCGAAGUUUAUAAUCAGCACCCUCUCGGAUUUCUUUGACUGUGUACUGACGGACCUUGAUCAUCUUCUCUGUGCAGCGUGACCAUUCAUUUGUGCCAACCAACUGCUUAUCAACAAAAUAGCCA
ensembl:lncRNA